UACAGAGGUCUCAAGCGUUGUUCGGAUUCAUUGGGCGUAAAGGGUGCGUAGGCGGCGCGGUAAGUCGGGUGUGAAAUCUCGGAGCUUAACUCCGAACUGCAUUCGAUACUGCCGUGCUUGAGGACUGGAGAGGAGACUGGAAUUUACGGUGUAGCGGUGAAAUGCGUAGAUAUCGUAAGGAAGACCAGUGGCGAAGGCGGGUCUCUGGACAGUCCUGACGCUGAGGCACGAAGGUCAGGGGAGCAAACGGG
rnacentral:rRNA from 1 species